CUUAUUACCUUUUUGUGUUCCAUAUUGAACAUGUACUACAUGAUUAGAAAAAAAAAUUCUUAAAUAGAAAAAUGAGUAGGGUGCGGAGAAUGGUAAAGACAAACUUUAAGGAAAUCCAGAGAACUGAUUCUUUCACAAUAGAAGAAAAUACAGUAAACAUGCUUAAUAUCUGAGGGCUACCCCGAAAAAACAUGAACUGGUAUCAGCGCCCUUCAGCUCUCUUAAAGAACUUUACAUAUGUGACCGAGGUGCCCCCAUACUCCUUCCUAUCAUGUAACCAACACAUAAUGUGGACAGCACUACACUGCAAACAGAAUUACAGGAAGACUCUUAUAGGAAGAAUUAGAAUCCAAAGUACACAAUCAAUAAAGCUUUAGAAAAAGGGGUAGUAAAAAGCAGAAGACAAAAAAAAAUCAGGUAAUAUAAAUUGGAAAGCUCAGCUGAUGGAGGGAAUCAUCAGAAAAAAAAUAAUGUGACAACACUUCAAGAUGUGAUAGAGACUUUGAAUGGAAAGCUGAAGGGAGAGGAAGGGGAUUGAGAUAAGGAUCAAUGACCUGCAGUUAAUAUGAGCUCUCAGAACACAUCCCCCAGAACUGGUGUCAGCCUAGAAGGCAAGAAGCAUUUCUCACCUAGGGACCACUCUCACUUAACUCUCUCUAGCUGCCUUAACAUUCUGUUUGUUCUUGUCAUUCUCGCAAAGUUCUAAAACAGGCUAUUUGAAAUUAAGCACUUCCCCCCAGCAACUCCGUGAAUUACGUAAUAGUGAAAAAUGGAGAUAGACAAAAAGCAAACCUGAGGAAGGAAAGGAAUGUUAAGAGUCACCAGUAAAAUGAGCAUUCAUUCAUUAAGCCAAUCAUCAGGAAUGGAUCUAGGAAGAACCUACUGUUUACUAGAAAUAGGUUAGAUCUGUGGAUAUAACAAUGAAUAAGACAAGACUGGUGGAUCUAUAGAGAAACUAUUACUGCACAGGUGAUGGGGAAAUCAAGAGUACUAUGGGGCCAAGGAGACUGUCCUGCAGCAAAUGAGGAAUAAGCUGAAACAUCAGUAGGAGCCAUCCCAGAGAAAAGGGACAGGGUUCUAGAUCCAGAGAACAACAGAAGAGCAUUCAGCGCCUGCAAGGGAGCAGGGGAUCUAAUGCAAAGCCAUUGCAUAACCAGUCAACUUUCCCCACAUCACAAGAUUGCCUAGCCUGGAUGGCCCCAGAAUGUUGAAACAAAUGUCUAAUUAGUAACGACAUUCUGAAUGCUUGGGAGCUGAGCAAAAUAUGAGGAGAAGCAACCUGAUUUUUGUUUCAUAUUAUCAUCUCCUUUAUUCCAGCAACAAAAGACACUGAAAAUAGUAAAUGCCCACUUUCAACCAUGACAGCCCUUUUAGGAUAGUAACGGUGAGCAGUAUUAAUCCUAUUUGACCAGAACUAGGGCAGAAUUGAAGCCCCUGGAGUAGAGAUCUGUUCUAUUAGCCCCAGCCUUUCCGCCUGCUUCUUGGGAUGGCUAUCUUUACUUUAUCAGUUGAGCCUCCAGCAUUAGCAGAUACCUAUAAGGGAAGAGAUCCAGCCCUCACUAUGGAGGGCCAGAAAGAGAAAGCACCAGACAUUAGGAAAUGUCAAAGUAUCUCAGUACAUCCAGCUGAUUAGUGACAGAUAAGUCAAAAUUUGCAGCAACUAAAUAAAUCAAAAAGUAGAUUUUAAAA
rnacentral:lncRNA from 1 species